GAAACUGCCCACUCAAAGUAAAAACUAAAGCCUUCAAAUCUAAUCAUUAUCUUUUGCUUCUCACUUUCCUUCCUCAACUACACGAGGAUAGAUGGUAAACAAUAGAGUAAUACAUCUAAUGGGACAAAUAGUCCCAUAAAGGCGGGUAUGAUUGUCUUAGCUCCAAAUACACUGGAGACUGGAUCAUGGUAUUCUCUGGAUGCAUGUAUUGCCGAUGACAAAGACCAAGAAGCUCUAGCACAUCUACUAAAGUUAUGUAUUUGAGGUAUGCAGCUCAUACUUUUGUGAGACAAACAUACUGAUAGGGGUGAAGUUUGGUACAUAUCCUGUUAGAAAGUAUUCAAGUAAUUCAGUAAUACCCUCUUUUUUGAGGGACCGGCGACUUUCUUUUCUAUAUCUAGAGUGAUUACUGUUAUAUAUCGGUAUUUCUUUUUGUUGAUUACCGCCUUUUUCCUUUUUCUCUUUUUGAGGAAAAACAUGUAUAUAUUAUUGAAGUAUUUAUGCAGUUUUUUUUAUGACU